rnacentral:lncRNA from 1 species
AUUGAUAAGAAUGAAAUCGAGCUUGAUGUAGAUCGGGUCGACGCUUCUCUUUGUUGCUUGGUUCAGUCGUUUUUAACGUUCACUGGUAGGUCGCUUUCAAAUUUCACUAAGAAGUAUGAACUCACUGCGCGAUCAUCCUAUUUGGGAAAUCCAAGAGAACACGCAUAUGACGAGUGGAUUUAAAGCUGCAACGUAAUCAUAGAAAUCAUAUCGCCUAAAGAUCAAAUUCCACUAAGAAAAUAUCUGCUUGGUUCACUGCAUCCAAUUAUCGCUUACAUUCGCCCUCACAAGCAGAGUAUUUUCAGACAUUCUAUUAUAACUGAUUUGAUAAUAUAUAAUCGGUUCGAAAUAAUUUAGAAUUUAAAAAUUAAUAUCCCUGAUUUAUUUAGAUUUGUAUUCAAAUGUAUUCAUUAUUAAUUAAUUUAAUAUUAAAUAUAGUUUUAUAAUAAUAUCUAUAAACUUUUUACAUAUAUAAUUUAACUACUUUUUAUAAAUAUUAAUUUUUUAAAUGAAAAUUAUUACUUAAAAUAUAAUUUUAUAAUUAAAAUAUAUAAAAUUAAAAAUGUUUGGAUAUUAAUUGAUUAAUAAUAAUUAAAAAUAGUAUAUGUUUAUAAUAAAUUUUAAUUAAAUUUAAAAUAAAUUUAAAUAUUAAAAAUAUUAAUGGAUUUUGAGUUCGAGUAAUUUACUCUAACCGUUAAUAUUCUUAGUGUUAUUAGAGCAAAAUCUACUAUUGAUCUAGUAGAGAGAGGAUGGAUAGAUUGGUGGAAUGGUAUAUGAUAAAUCUUUUUUUCCUCUUUCUCCAUGAUAGAUCUAGUUUUUUUUUGGUCUAUCAUAUGAGUCCAUCAAAUGGAUCUCUCGAUAUUCUAUUUGACGAAAGGACCUGUAAUACAGGGAAAAAUGGUUAGGGUCUACCGGGGAUGCCUCCGGCGGAGACCCUCCUAUGUCCGAGUUAGAUUUAUGAUAUAAUAUUUCAUGGAUAGGCCCGAGUUUUAGAGAAAAUAUGGAGACCCUCCAGAGGAAGAAGAAGAGAAGAGAAGAGAAGAGAGAUCCCUGUCUGUGUCCUUCAGGCCCGUACGUACGGACGUGUCAGGCCCCUUCUCCACGUAGGUGGCCACUAAGUAUUUCCUUAUUCCUGGACUAGGAAAGAUCUGGAGGUUAUCAAUUGCCCCUUUACCUCCUCAGUAGUUAUUCCAUGACUGGUGAGGGGGUAAAUACUUAGACUCCAUUAAUGACCGUGUAGCUCAAGAACAGCUCUUAUCAAAACGUCUUUUACUUGCCUUAUUUCUUCAUCUCUUUACUUUGGUGUUUAAAUGUAAGGCGAUCUGGAGAUGUGUUCUUGAUGAUGAAUGAUAUUUCAUAUCGGCUCGUGCAUCAUCCUUAUUUUCUACUCAGGCUGUCUUCUGAUUUUGUCAAUUUUACUUACUUGAUGGACCAGGCUAUCUUCUGACUUUGUCAAUUUUACUUACUUGAUGGACCGGCUGGCUCUACUGGGACUUGGUUAGUCGAACUGACCCGGGCUAAGAGUUUGGAGUCUGGUUAAGCUUCUGACUUGCGAGUUUUUCUUACUCCCAUGAGGGCAUUUCUGUUUUUGACUCACUAUCUUGUCAUUGUUGCGAGCUCGGAUACAUAAUACCUAGAGAAAUGUCCUAUUUGUAUGAGUGCUCCACUUUAGAUGAUUUUAAAUCUUGUUCUUGUUACGAGCUCAGACCCGUACAUACGGACGUGUCAGACCCCUUCUCCAUGCCGGGCGGCCAUUUAAUUCUCCCUGUCACGCAUGCGAACAGGGUUGGUGAAUGACUGGGAUUGCUUCCCUCUUGGACCUGUGCUCGUAUCUGAUCUGAAUUGCUCUGGGCUGCUGGUUCCGAGCUUGUGAAAUCGGGCCGUCUUUCGAGCGUAUGGUCUGACGGGUUUUGGACUUGUAGCCUUUUUUUGGAUCCGUUCUUAUUUCUGGCCUAGGAAACCCAGGCGGUUAUCACUAUAUAUUUCCCUGUCAUGAAGUACCCAAAGUUAUAAAGUAUUCCCAAUCCUCAAUAAACAAGGGAUUUAAUAUGCUAUCAUGCCCAAUCACUCAAAAUAAUUUGCAAGUGUGCAUUACAAAUAUUUAAAAUAUUAUUGGAUUCAAGUUGAGAACCAUUCACAUCAAAUUGGAAAUAUACGCAGCAGUAGCAUUGCAAUCCUAGCAACCAAACGCAGGAGAGAAGCAAUCGAAGUGAACCAUGCAAACCAAGAAAAUUGUUGUUUUGGAUAAAAAAUCGAACAUUCACCUUACCAGUGAGCAGAGUGCAGCUAUCAGAUUCCAAACCAGAACUUGGGAACGGAAUUUAAACCAGAUCUUAAAUGGUAGAUCCCAAGGAUUUGGUGGUAAUCAAAUGAAUUCAAGAUAAAGCAAUGGAGCUUGAGGGUGUAAGGAAAACAAAAAGACUUUGGAUCUGGAGCAUUAGAGGACCCCUCUGUUUUAUCUGGCGCAUGAAAUAUCCCACCGAUGAUUUCUUAAAGUUUCCUAGUGGGCCCAUAUAACAACUUCCUCAAGGUGGGCCCUACAGCAGCUUCCUCUCUGCAGCCCCCUGCCUUAUUUUUCAACUGUUUACUUUGACAAGAAUAUGGAAAUCUCCUGAUCAAAUUUAAUAAUUAUUAGAUUAAGGGCCAAUUUUAUUAUAAUUUAGUCUGUAGUUAUUGCUGUUGUAUAAAAUUUUUGGAUGAAUGCUUUUGUUAUAUAUAAAAUUAUUAAUAAAAAUAUAUUUUUUAUUUUAUUAUCAAAAUCAAAUAUGAUUGUAGUAUAUCAUAUCAUUUAUUUUAUUAUAAAAAUAAACAUGUAUAAUUAUUAAUUAGCAGAUUAACUAUUAUUUUAUUCUUAAAAUAGAUAAGUUGAAAUUGAAUAAUGUAAGAAAAUAAAUAUGCAUAUAUAAAGAAGGAUAAAAUGGUAUUUUUAUUUUAAAUAUGCAUAUAUAUAAUGUGAAAAUAUUUUUUAAAAAAAUAUAUAUUUAUUUUUAUACAUAAUUAUUAGUUAAAAAGCUAAUAUUUAUAUGAAUAUAGUUUUUCCCCUAAUAUUUUAGAAUAUCGACACGGAUUAACCAUGUUUCCCUUAAAGAAUAUACAAGCUUGCUAUUCUACAUACAUUCUGAAUGAUACUGGUUUUCCUAAGACUUAGGAUAGAGUCUGAGAUUGUCUCCAGCUAUACACAAACUCUUACUAUGUAUACUUUUGUCCAAUCAAAAAGACGACUCCUCUUUCUGAUAAAAGAAGCAACCAGAAGGACCAUCGUUAGGCAACAAUGCUAAUCUCACUGGAUUUUCUGCCCCUUCUUCAACAGAUAGUAAGCCAUUGUUGUAGUUUAUGUCCGUUUUGACAAAGCCAGGGCAGACACAAUUGACGCGAAAACUUGGGAGCUUCUUGGCGAGGAUCCUUGUGUAAGCAUUCAUAGCAGCUUUUGAAAGUGCAUAGGCAGACAUAAAGCUAGGCCAGCCUUUGCUUUCUGGUGAACCUUCUUUAAAAUCUUCUAGAUACUUGCUCAAUACCUCAUCAAUUCUCUCUUCUGAAAGUUUGUCAGCAUCCCCCAAUACUUGUUUAGCCCAUUCAUUACACACGUACUGAAACAAAUUACAGGAAAACAUGUUACUGAGUUAGCUAUAAGAACCACAAUUUUAGCAGUAAUUAUCCAUGUUUAUCUGGAGAAGCUGAGCAACGACAAAACAAAUAUUGAUUCAGCAGGGAGUUUCUCAUUGAUGUAUUCUAGUAUUCAACAAGUGGAAAUGUACAAUAUACAUAAAUAUAUUUUCAAUUGCUUGAAUCAAACUUGAGAUGGUGUGUUUUGUGACAAAUGAGCUUGUAGCAAAAUGGGAUAUGAUUUUACCUUCAAGAUCCCCAGCGAGGACGAAACGUUAACAAUCCUCGGUGAAUCAGACAACUGAAGUAGGGGAAUAAAUUCCUCAACCAUUCUUUUAGCACCAUAAUAGUUUAUUUUCAGGCAUUCUUCGGCUAACUCAUAGUUUUGAGUUGUUUUUUUAUGCCAUUGCCAAUCGACAUUUGCAGCUUCCUGCAUCAAUGAAAGAUCGAAACUUAAUUAUCAUACUAGUUAUAUGCAUUUUACAGCCAAAAGUAGAGUUAAAAAAGCUAAUGUUCUUUUCCUGUUUAGCAAUCCAAACCCACAUCAAAUCAAAGAAAAUUUCUAUAUCAGUAAAAUUUGGUCUCAAAGCUGUCCACAAUUCAAUGGCAACAUGUACAGAUGUACUCAUAAAUUAUGAAAAGCACAACGAGUAACUUGAAUACUUAAGUAGCUCAAAAAGCAGAUAUGGGCAAUUAUCUAACAGGAGGUACCUUCAAAAUGAGAAGGAGAACAUGGCCUAUAUUAGAAAUUUACAGGAAACUCUAUAAUUAUCCAGCCAGUCAAAUAUCGCAUGAAGCAUUAAUUUGUCAGGGACUGUAUUAGAGAAAAUAAUUACAUAUAGUAUAAUGAUUAGAUAUUAACCACUGGUUAUAGUGAAAUCUACAUAGUACCUUCCAUGAAUAUAAUAAACAGUAAAAUUUCUCAUGUAUUAGGCAUUGAUCUCCACAUAAACCAUCAAUUAAAUUAACCCUCCUUUAGGCUUUGGCAAAUAUGUUCACUAAAGAAACUUACCUUACCAGACUCGGGUCUGAAAGUAGCAUCAUCAACUGCAAUUCCAUUAACACCAGCAUUAUUAACCUGCACAGAGGUGAAAGAUUUUUAAUAAUUCAACUUAUAGAAGCUCACUAUUAAAAACCCAGAUAAACAAAUGAGACAUACAGGAGUUCUUACUAUAAAAAAAAGAACGAGGUUCAUUUCAGUAAUUCAAUAGGAAAUGGAUUAAAAAUUUAAAAUCUCGUUAUAUUUUAUAUUUCGAGCCCCAAGAAUUCAAUUUGAUGUUUCCACAUCUCACCUCCUUAUGCCCGCUUCUUAUGUAGAGUCCCAUAUAUUGGAAAAGAACAAAGAAACAAAAAAAAAAUAUAUAAAGGGGAAGCCAAGCCAAACAGCUUAAAUCAUUUUGGUUGAGGCAUCUAAGCAAUAGUCAUCAGCCCUCUCAAACAGACAAUAUCCUUUGAUAUAUUUAUCUAUUUAUCCUUCAAAACCAGUUUGUAGACCUACUGAAAAUUUCACAAUAUAUUCUAACUUGAAGAAAUGGGAAUUAGGUUUUAGUGGUACCAGGAUAUCAAGCUUUCCAAAUUGAGUUUUGAUGAAAUUAGCAAAAGCAGCGAUACUGGCAUCGUCAGCCACAUCAAGCUGAUGAAACACAAUAAGCUCAGAGAGAGGGGAAUCUUUUAGUUUAUGAAGAGCUUCAAGGCCUCUCUUCUCAUCUCUGGCUGUUAAUACAACUAAAAUCCCAUGUGAAGCCAACUGCCUGCAUAUUUCAAAUCCAAUCCCCUUGUUUGCUCCUGUAACCACUGCAUACCUGAAAAUAAUAUAUAAUAAUAUUAAUACUAAUUUGUCACAACAAUACAAGAAGAAGCAGAAGCAGAUAAAGAAUAUUACUUGGUAUCUGAUGACCUCUUGACUGCUUCUGCCAUUGAUAAGAAUGAAAUCGAGCUUGAUGUAGUUCGGGUCGAGGCUUCUCUUUGUUGCUUGGUUCAGUCGUUUUUAACGUUCACUGGUAGGUCGCUUUCAAAUUUCACUAAGAAGUACGAACUCACUGCGCGAUCAUCCUAUUUGGGAAAUCCAAGAGAACACGCAUAUGAUGAGUGGAUUUAAAGCUGCAACGUAAUCAUAGAAAUCAUAUCGCCUAAAGAUCAA